CACGUGAGGUGCGAGCGUUGUCCGGAAUUAUUGGGCGUAAAGAGCUCGUAGGCGGUGUGUCGCGUCGGCCGUGAAAACCUGCAGCUUAACUGUGGGCUUGCGGUCGAUACGGGCAUCACUGGAGUUCGGCAGGGGAGACUGGAAUUCCUGGUGUAGCGGUGAAAUGCGCAGAUAUCAGGAGGAACACCGGUGGCGAAGGCGGGUCUCUGGGCCGAUACUGACGCUGAGGAGCGAAAGCGUGGGGAGCGAACAGG
rnacentral:rRNA from 1 species